GACGAACGCUGGCGGCGUGCUUAACACAUGCAAGUCGAGCGGUAAGGCCCUUUCGGGGGUACACGAGCGGCGAACGGGUGAGUAACACGUGGGUGACCUGCCCUCAGCUCUGGGAUAAGCCUGGGAAACUGGGUCUAAUACUGGAUAUGACUCCACGGUGCAUGUCGUGGGGUGGAAAGCCUUGUGCGGCUGAGGAUGGGCCCGCGGCCUAUCAGCUUGGUUGGUGGGGUGAGGGCCUACCAAGGCGACGACGGGUAGCCGGCCUGAGAGGGCGACCGGCCACACUGGGACUGAGACACGGGCCCAGACUCCUACGGGAGGCAGCAGUGGGGAAUCUUGCGCAAUGGGCGAAAGCCUGACGCAG
rnacentral:rRNA from 1 species